UCUUGGUCAUUUAGAGGAAGUAAAAGUCGUAACAAGGUUUCCGUAGGUGAACCUGCGGAAGGAUCAUUAGUGAAUAUUAGCGCAUCUACUUGUAGAGCGUGACCUCCACUUUCUAACUCUGUGCAUUUAUUGGCGGAAGAACUAGAGUAAUCGAAUUCUUCUGCGGCUCAUUUUAUAACACUAGUUAAAGUAUGUAACGAAAUAUCGAAACAAAAAAAAACUUUCAACAACGGAUCUCUUGGCUUGCUCAUCGAUGAAGAACGCAGCGAAAUGUGAUAAGUAAUGUGAAUUGCAGAAUUCAGUGAAUCAUCGAAUCUUUGAACGCACCUUGCGCUCCCUGGUAUUCCGGGGAGCAUGUCUGUUUGAGUGUCAUGAACUCUUCAACCCACCAGUUUCUUGUAGACUGAUUGGUGUUUGGAUUUUGAGCGUUGCUGGUCUUCGGAUCUAGCUCGUUCGUAAUAAAUUAGCAUCUCUAAUUCGAACUCGGAUUGACUCAGUGUAAUAGACUAUUCGCUGAGGACACGCUCUUGUAGUGUGGCCGAAUGAGAUCUCAGUAGAAGCUUCCAACUACUUUAGUCAACUUUAGAUUAGACCUCAGAUCAGGCAGGAUUACCCGCUGAACUUAAGCAUAUCAAUAAGCGGAGGA
rnacentral:rRNA from 1 species